CCAAUACCAACACCAGCACCAGCACCAACACCAACACCAAUACCAACACCAACACCAAUACUAACACCAACACCAAUACCAACACCAGCAGCACCAGCACCACCAAUCUAAUGAGAUAAUACCACUGGUCUCUGUGGUAUUCAGGAGGAGGGUUACAGGUCUACAGGUCUACAGGGUCUACAGGUCUACAGGUCUACAGGUUCACUCUGGAACAGAGGAGGUCUGAGAGCUGAGUCAGGACAAGAAUUCAGGUUAUUUCUUGUUUUGUUCAGUGACCUCACUAAUCACUGGUCACUCACAAAUCUGCUCACGUGUUUCAUUCUGUUCAUUCAGGACUCUGUUCUCUGUAACACAUGAAGCUCAACAGGUCUGUGGAGCUCCGGAAGUUCAUCUAGGAGAGUUCACCAGGUGGACCGCAGGAGCUGGUUUCUGGUCUUACAGGUGACGCUGCUCCGCUGGUUUCUGGUCGUACAGCUGACGUUGCUCCGCUGGUUUCUGGUCGUACAGCUGACGUUGCUCCGUUGGUUUCUCGUCCUACAGCUGACGUUGCUCCGCUGGUUUCUGGUCGUACAGCUGACGUUGCUCCGCUGGUUUCUGGUCGUACAGCUGACGUUGCUCCGUUGGUUUCUUGUCCUACAGCUGACGUUGCUCCGCUGGUUUCUGGUCCUACAGCUGACGUUGCUCCGCUGGUUUCUGGUCGUACAGCUGACGUUGCUCCGCUGGUUUCUGGUCGUACAGCUGACGUUGCUCCGCUGGUUUCUGGUCGUACAGGUGACGUUGCUCUGCUGUUUUCUGGUCGUACAGCUGACGUUGCUCCGCUGGUUUCUGGUCGUACAGCUGACGUUGCUCCGUUGGUUUCUGGUCGUACAGGUGACGUUGCUCUACUGGUUUCUGGUCGUACAGGUGACGUUGCUCCGCUGGUUUCUGGUCGUAGAGCUGACGUUGCUCCGUUGGUUUCUGGUCGUACAGCUGACGUUGCUCUACUGGUUUCUGGUCAUACAGGUGACGUUGCUCCGCUGGUUUCUGGUCGUACAGGUGACGUUGCUCCGCUGGUUUCUGGUCGUACAGCUGCGUUGCUCCGCUGGUUUCUGGUCGUACAGCUGACGUUGCUCCGCUGGUUUCUGGUCGUACAGCUGACGUUGCUCCGCUGGUUUCUGGUCGUACAGCUGCGUUGC